rnacentral:rRNA from 1 species
UACAGAGGGGGCAAGCGUUAUUCGGAAUUAUUGGGCGUAAAGGGCGCGUAGACGGCUUGGCAAGUGGAAGGUGAAAUCCCUCGGCUUAACCGAGGAACUGCCCUCCAAACUGCUUUGCUUGAGACCAGAAAAGAUGAGUGGAAUUCCCAGUGUAGCGGUGAAAUGCGUAGAUAUUGAGAGGAACACCAGUGGCGAAGGCGGCUCACUGGACCGGUUCUGACGCUGAUGCGCGAAAGCGUAAAAAGCAAACGGG